AAGGCUUUUAAGGCAUGUUGACAUUUUUAGUCUCUUAUAUACAGUGUUUGUUCUUUAGUUUAAUUUUUGGAUAGUUCUGUUCAGUUUCGCUUAAGGAAUAGAGUAUGCUAGAAUAAUCCCUGGAAUAUAAUUGGCUUUUGUUCGAUAACCUGGUUUACUUGAUUUACACCUUUUAUUAUGCAAUUAGAGUAUAUUGCAAAUGUUUUUAAUCUAUGUAAUACCUUUUUCCCCCAUAAAUCUUGAUGUAUGAGUGUGUUAUGACUCUGGCUUCUAUUUUGCUUCUCCUCCUGUCUUU
rnacentral:lncRNA from 1 species